rnacentral:rRNA from 1 species
GAUGAGCAUGCGUCCCAUUAGCUAGUUGGUAAGGUAACGGCUUACCAAGGCUACGAUGGGUAGGGGUCCUGAGAGGGAGAUCCCCCACACUGGUACUGAGACACGGACCAGACUCCUACGGGAGGCAGCAGUGAGGAAUACUGGACAAUGGGCGCAAGCCUGAUCCAGCCAUGCCGCGUGCAGGAUGACGGUCCUAUGGAUUGUAAACUGCUUUUAUACGAGAAGAAACACUCCUUCGUGAAGGAGCUUGACGGUAUCGUAAGAAUAAGGAUCGGCUAACUCCGUGCCAGCAGCCGCGGUAAUACGGAGGAUCCAAGCGUUAUCCGGAAUCAUUGGGUUUAAAGGGUCCGUAGGCGGUUUAAUAAGUCAGUGGUGAAAGCCCAUCGCUCAACGGUGGAACGGCCAUUGAUACUGUUAAACUUGAAUUAUUAGGAAGUAACUAGAAUAUGUAGUGUAGCGGUGAAAUGCUUAGAGAUUACAUGGAAUACCAAUUGCGAAGGCAGGUUACUACUAAUGGAUUGACGCUGAUGGACGAAAGCGUGUGUAGCGAACAGGA